GGAAUAAUGCAGAGCAAACUGCAAAAUAUGGUGUUGAUGCUUCAGCACUUGGCAGAAAUGCACAUGAGCACAAGUCCAAGCACUUGCACAAUUCAAGAAAUUUGCAAAAUUUUACUGAAGAGAAGCUUAUGGAAGAAAAAGCAAAUAGUCCAUUAUCAAUAACAAUCUCAGUUCUACACAGAGACUAGAAAAAUAAAAAUACAUUCCAUAAGGAACAUAUAAUUUGGAUACUAAGUUUGCCUCACAUUUCCAAGAUUUUUCUACGUUGCAUCCUUUUAGAUGAAAUAUGUCUAAAGGAAAUAUAGAAAUUGAAGAUCAAGCAACUUUUGAAUUUCAAAAUAUUGGAAAGAAAAUCAAAACUGAAAUAUGCUACACCAUUCAAAGUUUGCUGGAAAUUCUUUGACGUAGCUUAAAAUUCCGUAGUUCCACAUUGCUGCAGAAUGACUAUAAAUUCAGUAACAAAAUCAAUGUUAACAGACAGUCUCUAGCAUUGUGAUUGAACUCCAAACCCAAAAGAUUUUGAACAUUGAUAAGAACAGAAGUAGAUAUCACAAAAGCAAAUAUGAUUCAC
rnacentral:misc_RNA from 1 species